rnacentral:rRNA from 1 species
CAGUCGCCACGGUAAUACGAAGGGUGCAAGCGUUAAUCGGAAUUACUGGGCGUAAAGCGUGCGUAGGCGGUGAGUUAAGUCUGCUGUGAAAUCCCCGGGCUCAACCUGGGAAUGGCAGUGGAUACUGGCUCGCUAGAGUGUGUCAGAGGAUGGUGGAAUUCCCGGUGUAGCGGUGAAAUGCGUAGAGAUCGGGAGGAACAUCAGUGGCGAAGGCGGCCAUCUGGGACAACACUGACACUGAGGCACGAAAGCGUGGGGAGCAAACAGGAUUAGAUACCCCUGUAGUCCCUGUCUCUUAUAC